rnacentral:lncRNA from 1 species
UGGGUCAGCAGCUGUGAUGUCACCAAUUGUGACCUCAAGGGCUUCUGACCUUGCAGUGAGCUUGUUGGCACUGCCUGUCCGGGGACCCUGGGGCUGCUGUUCCUGUGGUAAUGUGGCAGCUGGGACCAUGGCCAGCUUCAGUCUGCCUGGCGUCACAUAAGCCAGCCCACAGGGUCCUGCAGCUUGUCCUUUCUGGCUGGAAGCUCUGGGCAUAGCCUGGGACUGGGUCUUUCCAGAGAGGGCUGUAGCCAGGGCCCUGCCAGCCUCGGGGGCCACAGCGGCUCUCACACCAGCAUCUUGCUGGAUAGGAGCAGUUCCAGGACUCUCUGAUCACACCUGAUCAUCGUCACUGCCAGAAUUCAAGCCAUGGCUGAGAGGUGUGCCUCAGCUUAACCCACUCAGUGAUGGACUCCAGUGCCUGCAAGAAGUCUCACCAGAGUAAGAAGUGGAGGAUCCAGGCCCAGGAGAAUUUUGCCAAGAAGUUUCCGUACAGGUUGUCGUGGCUGACAGAGCCCGACCCUGAGCCCCUGCAGCCCUGGGAGGUCACAAACGACUCGAACACGGUGCAGCUGCCCCUGCAGAAGAGGUUGGUGCCAACGAGGUCCAUCCCAGUCCGAGGGGUUGGUGUGAGGAUUAAAAAGAGCAUGAAUGUCACUUCUAGGACUUUAUCCCAAAUGUACACUCACACAGGUAAGUAAAUGCUGUUCACUCCAGUGCUGCUGGAAACAGCAAAGGAUUGGAAAGCAGCUAAACUGUUUGCUAAACACUCACAGGAAACUGCUAAAUUAUACAACUACUCCCGGAAAUCUUAGGCAGCCAUUCAAAUGUAGAGGCAGCUCUUUAUAGACUGAUCUGAAUGAUGUACAGGUCUGUUACAAUUUUUGUUAAAAAGCACAGCAGAAGAGUGUGUCUGAUAUGCUGCCAUCUUGUGUUUACUAAAAACGGUGUGUGUAUGUGUGUGUGUGGGGGGGGGGGCGUGGAUGAGGAGCAGGCAGCAAUCAUUACCUUUGAGGAGGAGAAUGGGGGACCUGGGGACAGGACCGAGAGUGAGGCACACCAUUUUGUGGGUUGUCAUACAUGAGCCUAAUGCCAUAUUCCUGUAUUACAACAUCAGUAAUGUAAGGAGCGUGGUGUGGCUGCUGGAGGCUGGUGAUGCCUUUGUAAAGCAAGACAGCAGCACUGGGCAGCGGGGUGCCUGCUGAAGAUUUAAGGGUCCCCCCACUGUGUUCUACAAAUACAGGGGCUAGAAAGUCACCUUGGAGUUCCUUGGGAGGGUGAAUAAAAUCAGGACACUUUGCAGCCUUCUCCCUGGAGUGGGAUGUGGCUUUAUUGUCUUCUCCCCAGGUGGGCAAGUGGCUUUAUUGUCUCAGAAAGGAAGUGAAGUGAGGACCCUUGUGAUGAAAAGAUUGAAGGGGGUUGGCUUCCCAGGCCCUGGGGGCAGGACAGGGGUGGGUUCCCAACCUGCACGAAGCAGACCCUGGAGUCACAUCUGUGGUGUUUGGGGAAGGGUGACCGGGCUGCACUGUGCCGCCCCAGCCAAGACUCCAGGCUCCCUCCCCAGGUGGGACCCCAGGUCCAGGCAGGGGACUCACAGCAUUUGCCUGGGGAUAGAGUACAGCUUCCAGCAGCACCCACAGACCUGCAGGAAGCAAAGAUCCCUGGGGUCCCUUCCUGUGAGGGUGGGAGCCAGGCUGAUCUUCAUUUGGACUGUAUAAGCUUCGAGGAGGUUGUCUCUGAGGUUUAAGCUAUGCACUGUUUGAUAUAAGCAAAAUACAGCAACGCAUGUUUACCAUGCAGCAUAACCAGGGACACGAGACCCACUCUUAUCCCUGCUGGGUGCUCCUUCCCCCACUUCACCACACCCUGAGUCCCUCGUACCCUGCCCAUCAGGUCACCACAUCUUUCUCCCCACUUAAAAAAUGUUAUAAUUUGGCCAGACAUGGUGGCUUACGACUGUAAUCCCAACACUUUGGGAGGCUGAAGGCAGGUGGAUCACUUGAGCCCAGGAGUUCGAGACCAGCCUGGGCAACAUGGUGAAACCCCGUCUCUACUAAAAAUACAAAAAUUAGCUGGGCAUGGUGGCAUACGCC